rnacentral:rRNA from 1 species
ACGGAGGAUCCAAGCGUUAUCCGGAUUUAUUGGGUUUAAAGGGUGCGUAGGCGGAAUGAUAAGUCAGAGGUGAAAGCCCACAGCUUAACUGUGGAACUGCCUUUGAUACUGUCAAUCUUGAGUACAUUUGAAGUGGGCGGAAUGUGUUGUGUAGCGGUGAAAUGCUUAGAUAUAACACAGAACACCGAUUGCGAAGGCAGCUCACUAAGCUGUAACUGACGCUGAGGCACGAAAGCGUGGGGAUCAAACAG